rnacentral:rRNA from 1 species
CUUCUUAGUAUAGAUUGGAGGUUAGGCCUGCCCACUGAAUUUAUUUAAAGGGCCGCAGUAUUUUGACUGUGCAAAGGUAGCAUAAUCAUUAGUUCUUUAAUUGGGAACUGGAAUGAAUGGUUUGACGAAAUGACAAUUGUCUCUUAUUUAUAGAUAUUGAAUUUCACUUUUGAGUUAAAAGGCUCAAAUUGAUAAUUAGGGACGAGAAGACCCUAUAGAUCUUUAUUGUUUGAAUAUGAUUAUAAAUUUAUUGUUUUUAUUUGUUUUUAAAUAAUUUAACUGGGGUGGUAAAAGAAUAGUAGUAACUUCUUUUGUUUUAUUACUUUGAUGAAAGUAUAAUUGGUCCUGUAUUAUGGAUGGAAGAUUAAGAUACCUUAGGGAUAACAGCGUUAUUUUAUUUGAGAGUUCUUAUUGACAAUAAAGAUUGCGACCUCGAUGUUGGAUUAAGAGUAUAAUUUGGUGCAGAAGCUAGAAUUAUUAGUCUGUUC